GACGAACGCUGGCGGCGUGCUUAACACAUGCAAGUCGAACGGAAAGGCCCUGCUUUUGUGGGGUGCUCGAGUGGCGAACGGGUGAGUAACACGUGAGUAACCUGCCCUUGACUUUGGGAUAACUUCAGGAAACUGGGGCUAAUACCGGUUAGGAGCUCCUGCUGCAUGGGGGGGGUGGGCAAGUUUCGGCGGUUGGGGAUGGACUCGCGGCUUAUCAGCUUGUUGGUGGGGUAGUGGCUUACCAAGGCUUUGACGGGUAGCCGGCCUGAGAGGGUGACCGGCCACAUUGGGACUGAGAUACGGCCCAGACUCCUACGGGAGGCAGCAGUGGGGAAUAUUGCACAAUGGGCGGAAGCCUGAUGCAGCAACGCCGCGUGCGGGAUGACGGCCUUCGGGUUGUAAACCGCUUUCGCCUGUGACGAAGCGUGAGUGACGGUAAUGGGUAAAGAAGCACCGGCUAACUACGUG
rnacentral:rRNA from 1 species